AUUGAACGCUGGCGGCAGGCCUAACACAUGCAAGUCGAGCGGAUGAAGGGAGCUUUCUCCUGGAUUCAGCGGCGGACGGGUGAGUAAUGCCUAGGAAUCUGCCUGGUAGUGGGGGAUAACGUCCGGAAACGGGCGCUAAUACCGCAUACGUCCUGAGGGAGAAAGUGGGGGAUCUUCGGACCUCACGCUAUCAGAUGAGCCUAGGUCGGAUUAGCUAGUUGGUGGGGUAAAGGCCUACCAAGGCGACGAUCCGUAACUGGUCUGAGAGGAUGAUCAGUCACACUGGAACUGAGAAACGGUCCAGACUCCUACGGGAGGCAGCAGUGGGGAAUAUUGGACAAUGGGCGAAAGCCUGAUCCAGCCAUGCCGCGUGUGUGAAGAAGGUCUUCGGAUUGUAAAGCACUUUAAGUUGGGAGGAAGGGCAGUAAGUUAAUACCUUGCUGUUUUGACGUUACCAACAGAAUAAGCACCGGCUAACUUCGUG
rnacentral:rRNA from 1 species